GGAAGGUUUUCGAGAGCUAAAGAAUCAAAUUCUGCAAAACUGCAGAAUUUGAGCUCUCGGGGACCGGUCCCUGGUGGGAGAGACCGGUCCCCGAGCGCGUAUGAAAUGAGACAGCCGAAAAAUCGGCUAAGUCCUGGAAGAUCAGCUCUCGGGAACCGGUCUCUGCCUGAGAGACCGGUCCCCCAGAGACCGGUCCCAUAAGGAGAGACCGGUUGCACUGCGCGCAGCAGCUCUGGCUGCGCUGGGACAACGUUCGGGAACCGGUCCCUGCUCGGGGAGACCGGUCUCUGCCUGCGCGGACUGCCCAGUUCGGGCAGUGUAUUAAAGUGAAAGUUGAGGGGUUUAGCUGCAAUUUUGCAACCCAAUAGCUAUGUAUUGAGGGUUAAUGAGAUUUUCUCUCAUUCCCACCCUCUCAAACACUCUCUUCUCUCCCUCUCUCUCUCUAGAAGGCAAAGGAGAAGAAGAAGAAGGAAAGAAAGGAAGGAAAAGAAGGAGAAGAAGGUGAAGAAGAAGCUUUUGGAGCAAAGAGGCUUCAUCUUCUUCCUCUCUAGUGCAAGUUAGGGAAAGCUUUGAGGUAAGCUUCAACCCUAAUCAUGCUAAAACCCUAGGAAUGGGUUUGAAUGAACCUAAAGAUGGUUUCUAGUGGAAAAUCUAGUGGAUUGAAGCUUUCUUUUUGCUUCUUUAGAGAUCAAAACCAUGGUUGAGCUCAAAGGUGAGCUUCAACCCACCUCUCACGG
rnacentral:lncRNA from 1 species